rnacentral:rRNA from 1 species
GUCCAUGGCCAUACCACCCUGAACAUGACCUGAUCUCAACUGAUGGUAGAAGCUAAGCAGGGUUGGGCCUGGUUAGUACUUGGAAUGGAGGAAAUAGAAUGGGACUAGGGAUA